UUCGGGCCUUGCGCUAUCAGAUGAGCCUAGGUCGGAUUAGCUAGUUGGUGGGGUAAUGGCUCACCAAGGCGACGAUCCGUAACUGGUCUGAGAGGAUGAUCAGUCACACUGGAACUGAGACACGGUCCAGACUCCUACGGGAGGCAGCAGUGGGGAAUAUUGGACAAUGGGCGAAAGCCUGAUCCAGCCAUGCCGCGUGUGUGAAGAAGGUCUUCGGAUUGUAAAGCACUUUAAGUUGGGAGGAAGGGUUGUAGAUUAAUACUCUGCAAUUUUGACGUUACCGACAGAAUAAGCACCGGCUAACUCUGUGCCAGCAGCCGCGGUAAUACAGAGGGUGCAAGCGUUAAUCGGAAUUACUGGGCGUAAAGCGCGCGUAGGUGGUUAGUUAAGUUGGGAUGUGAAAUCCCCGGGCUCAACCUGGGAACUGCAUUCAAAACUGACUGAC
rnacentral:rRNA from 1 species